rnacentral:rRNA from 1 species
CCUACGGGUGGCAGCAGUGGGGAAUAUUGGGCAAUGGAGGCAACUCUGACCCAGCAACGCCGCGUGAAUGAUGAAGGUCUUCGGAUUGUAAAGUUCUGUGAUGGGGGAUGAACACAAUGACGGUACCCCAAUAGCAAGCCACGGCUAACUACGUGCCAGCAGCCGCGGUAAUACGUAGGUGGCAAGCGUUAUCCGGAAUGACUGGGCGUAAAGGGUGCGUAGGUGGUUUAGUAAGUUGGCGGUGUAAUUCCGGGGCUCAACCUCGGCGCUACCGCCAAAACUAUUAGACUAGAGUGCAGGAGGGGUAAGUGGAAUUCCUAGUGUAGCGGUGGAAUGCUUAGAUAUCACGCAGAACCCCGAUUGCGAAGGCAGCCUGCCAAGCCAUGACUGACGCUGAUGCACGAAAGCGUGGGGAUCAAACAGGAUUAGAUACCCCAGUAGUC